rnacentral:rRNA from 1 species
AGAGUUUGAUCCUGGCUCAGGAUGAACGCUGGCGGCAGGCUUAAUACAUGCAAGUCGAACGGUAACGACCGGUAGCAAUACUGGGGCGACGAGUGGCGCACGGGUGCGUAACGCGUAUGCAACCUACCCUCAACCGGGGCAUAACGCCGAGAAAUUGGCGCUAAUAUCCCAUGUGUAUAUGGAGUGGCAUCUCUUCAUAUAUAAAGAUCCGUUGGUUAAGGAUGGGCAUGCGUAACAUUAGCUAGUUGGCGGGGUAACGGCCCACCAAGGCGACGAUGUUUAGGGGUUCUGAGAGGAUUCACCCCCACACUGGAACUGAGACACGGUCCAGACUCCUACGGGAGGCAGCAGUAGGGAAUAUUGGGCAAUGGAGGCAACUCUGACCCAGCCAUGCCGCGUGAAGGAAGACGGCCCUAUGGGUUGUAAACUUCUUUUGCCGCAGAGUAACCGCGGGGACGAGUCCCUGCCUGAGAGUAUGCGGCGAAUAAGUAUCGGCUAACUCCGUGCCAGCAGCCGCGGUAAUACGGAGGAUACGAGCGUUAUCCGGAUUUAUUGGGUUUAAAGGGUGCGCAGGCGGACCGUUAAGUCAGGGGUGAAAAGUUGGGGCUCAACUCCAAUCGUGCCUUUGAUACUGGCGGACUAGAGUGCAGGGGACGUGACUGGAAUGUGAUGUGUAGCGGUGAAAUGCUUAGAUAUGUCACAGAACGCCGAUCGUGAAGACAGGUCACGAAUCUGCAACUGACGCUCAUGCACGAAAGCGUGGGGAUCAAACAGGAUUAGAUACCCUGGUAGUCCACGCUGUAAAC